CUUCCGUAGGGGGAACCUGCGGAAGGAUCAUUACUGUGAUUUAGUACUACACUGCGUGAGCGGAACGAAAACAACAACACCUAAAAUGUGGAAUAUAGCAUAUAGUCGACAAGAGAAAUCUACGAAAAACAAACAAAACUUUCAACAACGGAUCUCUUGGUUCUCGCAUCGAUGAAGAGCGCAGCGAAAUGCGAUACCUAGUGUGAAUUGCAGCCAUCGUGAAUCAUCGAGUUCUUGAACGCACAUUGCGCCCCUCGGCAUUCCGGGGGGCAUGCCUGUUUGAGCGUCGUUUCCAUCUUGCGCGUGCGCAGAGUUGGGGGAGCGGAGCGGACGACGUGUAAAGAGCGUCGGAGCUGCGACUCGCCUGAAAGGGAGCGAAGCUGGCCGAGCGAACUAGACUUUUUUUCAGGGACGCUUGGCGGCCGAGAGCGAGUGUUGCGAGACAACAAAAAGCUCGACCUCAAAUCAGGUAGGAAUACCCGCUGAACUUAAGCAUAUCAAUAAGACGGAGGA
rnacentral:rRNA from 1 species